rnacentral:rRNA from 1 species
AUUGAACGCUGGCGGCAUGCCUAACACAUGCAAGUCGGACGAGUGGCGGACGGGUGAGUAAUAUAUCGGAACGUACCGAGUAAAGGGGGAUAACUACUGGAAAGGUUAGCUAAUACCGCAUACUAUCGGAGCGGCCGAGAUCGGAUUAGCUGGUUGGUGGGGUAAAGGCGUACCAAGGCGACGAUCAGUAGCGGGUCUGAGAGGAUGAUACGCCACACUGGUACGGAGACACGGCCCAUACUCUUACGGGAGGCAGCAGUGGGGAAUAUUGCACAAUGGGCGCAAGCCUGAUCCAGCCAUGCCGCGUGUAUGAAGAAGGCCUUCGGGUUGUAAAGUACUUUUGGCAGGGAGGCGGUACCUGAAGAAUAAGCACCGGCUAACUACGUGCCAGCAGCCGCGGUAAUAC